GGACUUCUACAGACUUUCAGAUACUUAAAAUCUGUAUGUUUCUUUUUGGUCCAUCAUCUGUUAAAGACUGCUGGCUGUACUAAAACUGGCAAAAGAGUUAAACAAGGAUAAAAAAGAAACUUAUCCAGAGAACCAAGAUAUCAUAGAGGAUUCCUCUCCUGAAGUCAUCAAACAGCCACAUUAAAGCAUGACUAAGAAGAAAGGCAAGGCAGCAGUGAAAUGUGGAGCUGCUGAGAUAGCUCCAUACUGAGAGCAGAACUGGAAAUGAGAUCAAAGAUGAUUGAAUUGAGUUGACUGCACCUUGCUCAAAAAGUAAAGAAGCAGAGAAGGGUAAGAACCUUCAAUAAUUAUAAGGAAUGAGAGCAAGAAAACAAACCCCAGAAGACAAGAGGUAAAAGCAGUUCACAUGACGCUGUAAUCUCAUAGCUUAUGCUGUCAGCAAAAAGAUAUUGGAUGAGUUUCUGCAGACUCAACAGUAAUUGCCAUGCAGCAGCAGUCAGUACUAUUGAAAUGCUGGAACUGAUGGGAACCAACUAGGCUGUCGUGACUGGGAACAGACAUCCUCCGAAGAGCAUGAGACAGCAUUCUGCAGUGUGAGAAAUCCUUGCCUGUCAGUCUAAACUGGUGGUUUGUUUGUUGGACUGGGACCUGUAUCUCUCAUGAGAUAGGAAUUUUGCCUUUUUCUUCUUUGUUGUCUGUAGAUACCCAGUUUGGUUCUCAAUGAAGAUGGAACAGUCUUCUUAUUUGUAAAUGCAGCCUAAUGGAUAUUAACUUUCAGCACUUACAUGUAUUCUAAAUGUCAGCAUUAGGAGGAGCAAGGGUGCCUGUGCUUGUGAAUAUAUUCAAGGAGUACAGUGUCAGGAGCUUGUCCUCUCCAGCUCAGUGUGAAUUAAUGUUUUGUAAUGUUCUGGGCAUAACUGACCUUGAGUUGAGCUGUUCAUAUUCCCCCUUGGAGAAAGACUGCUUAAGCUCAUGCAGUUCUAUACCAUUGAGCAGUUGAAACUGGAGCCACUUGUGUGAAUCUUGCCUCAGGAGGUUUGAGGUUGCUGCUGAAUAUUUUUGUGGACAGAAGUAGGAUUUGCAUUUGCAACCUCACAAGGAUGGCUGAAGUCUUGAGGGUCAAAGCAGCCACAGCUAGCCCUAAGUCCCUGAACACACAAUAGCUGCGAGCUGUAGGCCUGUGGUGCCCACCUAAAAAGUGUAGGGGAGGAGUCAGAUUGCUCCAUGUUUAAAGGGAAAAGGAGCAAAGUCUGUGAUCUCUGUUCUUAAAUGUUGUUUAAAGAUGUAAAAACUAUAUAAUUUUACCUUCUACUCAGGAGUAGCUUAUCUAAGGACUAAUCUUGAAAGGAAUUGCUGGAAAGGCCAGUUACAGGCAGAACUUAGUAUUGAACUUUGAAAUGUUCUUUGUCUCAUGGUGUAUAUUGCAUGCUGUCGUGUUACCUGCACCAGCUUUUCUUCUCAGUUUGCUUAAGAAUCAUGUGAAUAAAAAGGUACCAUGGAUUUAAAAGUA